rnacentral:rRNA from 1 species
GGUUAAGCGACUAAGCGUACACGGUGGAUGCCCUGGCAGUCAGAGGCGAUGAAGGACGUGCUAAUCUGCGAUAAGCGUCGGUAAGGUGAUAUGAACCGUUAUAACCGGCGAUUUCCGAAUGGGGAAACCCAGUGUGUUUCGACACACUAUCAUUAACUGAAUCCAUAGGUUAAUGAGGCGAACCGGGGGAACUGAAACAUCUAAGUACCCCGAGGAAAAGAAAUCAACCGAGAUUCCCCCAGUAGCGGCGAGCGAACGGGGAGGAGCCCAGAGCCUGAAUCAGUGUGUGUGUUAGUGGAAGCGUCUGGAAAGGCGCGCGAUACAGGGUGACAGCCCCGUACACAAAAAUGCACAUGCUGUGAGCUCGAUGAGUAGGGCGGGACACGUGGUAUCCUGUCUGAAUAUGGGGGGACCAUCCUCCAAGGCUAAAUACUCCUGACUGACCGAUAGUGAACCAGUACCGUGAGGGAAAGGCGAAAAGAACCCCGGCGAGGGGAGUGAAAAAGAACCUGAAACCGUGUACGUACAAGCAGUGGGAGCACGCUUAGGCGUGUGACUGCGUACCUUUUGUAUAAUGGGUCAGCGACUUAUAUUCUGUAGCAAGGUUAACCGAAUAGGGGAGCCGAAGGGAAACCGAGUCUUAACUGGGCGUUAAGUUGCAGGGUAUAGACCCGAAACCCGGUGAUCUAGCCAUGGGCAGGUUGAAGGUUGGGUAACACUAACUGGAGGACCGAACCGACUAAUGUUGAAAAAUUAGCGGAUGACUUGUGGCUGGGGGUGAAAGGCCAAUCAAACCGGGAGAUAGCUGGUUCUCCCCGAAAGCUAUUUAGGUAGCGCCUCGUGAAUUCAUCUCCGGGGGUAGAGCACUGUUUCGGCAAGGGGGUCAUCCCGACUUACCAACCCGAUGCAAACUGCGAAUACCGGAGAAUGUUAUCACGGGAGACACACGGCGGGUGCUAACGUCCGUCGUGAAGAGGGAAACAACCCAGACCGCCAGCUAAGGUCCCAAAGUCAUGGUUAAGUGGGAAACGAUGUGGGAAGGCCCAGACAGCCAGGAUGUUGGCUUAGAAGCAGCCAUCAUUUAAAGAAAGCGUAAUAGCUCACUGGUCGAGUCGGCCUGCGCGGAAGAUGUAACGGGGCUAAACCAUGCACCGAAGCUGCGGCAGCGACGCUGAUGCGUUGUUGGGUAGGGGAGCGUUCUGUAAGCCUGCGAAGGUGUACUGUGAGGUAUGCUGGAGGUAUCAGAAGUGCGAAUGCUGACAUAAGUAACGAUAAAGCGGGUGAAAAGCCCGCUCGCCGGAAGACCAAGGGUUCCUGUCCAACGUUAAUCGGGGCAGGGUGAGUCGACCCCUAAGGCGAGGCCGAAAGGCGUAGUCGAUGGGAAACAGGUUAAUAUUCCUGUACUUGGUGUUACUGCGAAGGGGGGACGGAGAAGGCUAUGUUGGCCGGGCGACGGUUGUCCCGGUUUAAGCGUGUAGGCUGGUUUUCCAGGCAAAUCCGGAAAAUCAAGGCUGAGGCGUGAUGACGAGGCACUACGGUGCUGAAGUAACAAAUGCCCUGCUUCCAGGAAAAGCCUCUAAGCAUCAGGUAACAUCAAAUCGUACCCCAAACCGACACAGGUGGUCAGGUAGAGAAUACCAAGGCGCUUGAGAGAACUCGGGUGAAGGAACUAGGCAAAAUGGUGCCGUAACUUCGGGAGAAGGCACGCUGAUAUGUAGGUGAAGCGACUUGCUCGUGGAGCUGAAAUCAGUCGAAGAUACCAGCUGGCUGCAACUGUUUAUUAAAAACACAGCACUGUGCAAACACGAAAGUGGACGUAUACGGUGUGACGCCUGCCCGGUGCCGGAAGGUUAAUUGAUGGGGUUAGCGGUAACGCGAAGCUCUUGAUCGAAGCCCCGGUAAACGGCGGCCGUAACUAUAACGGUCCUAAGGUAGCGAAAUUCCUUGUCGGGUAAGUUCCGACCUGCACGAAUGGCGUAAUGAUGGCCAGGCUGUCUCCACCCGAGACUCAGUGAAAUUGAACUCGCUGUGAAGAUGCAGUGUACCCGCGGCAAGACGGAAAGACCCCGUGAACCUUUACUAUAGCUUGACACUGAACAUUGAGCCUUGAUGUGUAGGAUAGGUGGGAGGCUUAGAAGUGUGGACGCCAGUCUGCAUGGAGCCGACCUUGAAAUACCACCCUUUAAUGUUUGAUGUUCUAACGUUGGCCCCUAAUCGGGGUUGCGGACAGUGUCUGGUGGGUAGUUUGACUGGGGCGGUCUCCUCCUAAAGAGUAACGGAGGAGCACGAAGGUUGGCUAAUCCUGGUCGGACAUCAGGAGGUUAGUGCAAUGGCAUAAGCCAGCUUGACUGCGAGCGUGACGGCGCGAGCAGGUGCGAAAGCAGGUCAUAGUGAUCCGGUGGUUCUGAAUGGAAGGGCCAUCGCUCAACGGAUAAAAGGUACUCCGGGGAUAACAGGCUGAUACCGCCCAAGAGUUCAUAUCGACGGCGGUGUUUGGCACCUCGAUGUCGGCUCAUCACAUCCUGGGGCUGAAGUAGGUCCCAAGGGUAUGGCUGUUCGCCAUUUAAAGUGGUACGCGAGCUGGGUUUAGAACGUCGUGAGACAGUUCGGUCCCUAUCUGCCGUGGGCGCUGGAGAACUGAGGGGGGCUGCUCCUAGUACGAGAGGACCGGAGUGGACGCAUCACUGGUGUUCGGGUUGUCAUGCCAAUGGCACUGCCCGGUAGCUAAAUGCGGAAGAGAUAAGUGCUGAAAGCAUCUAAGCACGAAACUUGCCCCGAGAUGAGUUCUCCCUGACCCUUUAAGGGUCCUGAAGGAACGUUGAAGACGACGACGUUGAUAGGCCGGGUGUGUAAGCGCAGCGAUGCGUUGAGCUAACCGGUACUAAUGAACCGUGAGGCUUAACCUU